ACACAUAAAUUACAGGUGAGAUAAAAUGUGUUUUCUCUCUUUCAGUUUUCACUACUGGCUGAAAAACUUGCACAAGAGCGACAGGAUAUCCAGGUUCGGAAAAAAGCUCAGGAAAAGGCCCUGCUGAAGAUGAAGCGAGAGCUGCGUACCAGGAUGGAGCGCGAGAUUGGCGAACUGCAGAAAAUAAUCAUCCAGAAUGACGAGGACGACUACUUCCAGGACCUGGAUGUCCAGCGGCUGCGCAAUCGCGUCCACAUGGCUUCGUUCCAGUACAACAAGAGUUAUCUGCACUGAUCAGGGAGCAGGACCAUCGCCAGACUCCAUCAAUUAAGGCUGGAUUUUUAUCAUAUAAAAAAGUUGCGUCACAUCUAAGGGUACGACAUAUCGAUGACUUAAAUGAACCCUCUUCUCAGGCGUCUUCCUUUGUAGAUGAGAAGAGACUAUCCUGAUUAUUGAUUGAUGAACUGAACACGCUAACUAAACGUAGCUACUAGCGAACUCUUCCUCUCACCUCAGCUGCUAUACCUGAACUUGAAGACACCUUGGGCCAAGUCCCUUUCUCUUCCAUGGUUUUAAUACUUGGUAACUAAGAAUGUUUUAAAGUGGUUCCCUCACUGUGUGUGUGUGUGUGUGCGUGUGCGCGCGUGCUGUUACUGUAGCAGAAAAUUAGUAAACCUGUUCUUCCUCUUGCCAAAUAGGAACCACCAAUGCAAAGUUAGUAUGAAUGUCACCGACAAAAUUUUUAACUUCCUCUCGUUUUACCUUGUGCGAUGUCUUCCUUUAAUAUUUUAACCAUGCCAGCGGAUUAUUUAUUUUUUACCUUUAAUGUUUCUGUAAUUUUUUAAUGGAUCCUGGUGUUGUGCUUUCUGAUCACCAGGGGGCGAUGAUAAUCAAUGUUUGAUGAGCUCUGUUGAGAUUCAUGACCGUGAUGUUAACACACUGUCCUCUCAUGACUGUGCAUAGAUCUAAUGAGCACGUGUCCUGUGUUCCCUCAUUAAACAUGUGGGCUCCCUCAUCCUCUCA